GAUGAACGCUAGCGGUGUGCCUUAAGCAUGCAAGUCGAGCGGCCGAUGCUUUGCAUCGGAAAACUCGAAGCGCGAAUAUCAAAACCCGAAACAAAUUUAAUCCCCCAGCUGGCGGAUUUGAAAAUUAAGGAUUGUUUCGGAUUUCGGAUUUCGAGUUUCGGAUUUCCGCUGCAGAGCAGCGGUUAGCGGCGGACGGCUGAGUAACACGUAGGUAGCUACCCUUUAGCGGGGGAUAGCCCGCCGAAAGACGGAGUAAUCCCGCAUAAUCCCCGCCUUUGGUGGGGGAAAGAGCUUAACUGCUCACUAAAGGAGGCGCCUGCGGCCUAUCAGCUUGUUGGUAGGGUAAUGGCCUACCAAGGCAAAGACGGGUAGGGGGCGUGAGAGCGUGGCCCCCCAGAAUGGGACUGAGACACGGCCCAUACACCUACGGGUGGCAGCAACUGGGAAUCUUGCGCUAUGGGCGAAAGCCUGACGCAGCGACACCGCGUGAAGGAUGAAGGCCUUCGGGUUGUAACUUCUGUUAAU
rnacentral:rRNA from 1 species